CUGGCUCAGGAUGAACGCUGGCGGCGUGCUUAACACAUGCAAGUCGAACGGAGUUUAUAUGAAACCUAGUGAUUAUAAACUUAGUGGCGGACGGGUGAGUAACGCGUGGGUAACCUGCCUUAUACCGGGG
rnacentral:rRNA from 1 species